UACAGAGGUCCCAAGCGUUGUUCGGAUUCACUGGGCGUAAAGGGUGCGUAGGCGGUCGGGUAAGUCUGAUGUGAAAUCUCACAGCUUAACUGUGAAACUGCAUUGGAUACUAUCCGGCUCGAGGAAUGGAGGGGAGACUGGAAUACUUGGUGUAGCAGUGAAAUGCGUAGAUAUCAAGUGGAACACCAGUGGCGAAGGCGAGUCUCUGGCCCGGUACUGACGCUGAGGUGCGAAAGCGUGGGGAGCAAACAGG
rnacentral:rRNA from 1 species